CACAAGUCAGCAUUUAGUUUCUUGCUUUAGGAAGAGGAAGACUGAUGACCGAAGCUUCAAGACUUUGACAUGUGUGAAAACAUGAAAUGACCCUUGGCUCUUAUUGUUCUUGCUGGUGUGGUAUGUUCACGGCUGAAAAGGUGGUCAGAGGGGAAAGGAGGAAGUGAGAAGAAAGAAACAGGGAAAUGGCUGGAGUGCGAUGGCAUGAUCUGGGCUCACGGCAAACUCCGCCUCCCUGGUUCAAGUGAUUCUCCUGCCUCAGCCUCCCGAGUAGCCGGGAUUACAGGCAUGUGCCACCAUGCCCCGUUGGCCAGGCUGGUCUCGAACACCUUACCUCAGGUAAUCCUCCCACCUUUGGGAUUACAGCAGGCUGAGGAAUUACCAAGGAGGCAGGAGGUGGAGCAAAACACACCAAGCCUGAUGUCAAUCAUUGACAAAUUAUGAUCAAUGCUUGGGAUAUUUUGCAGACCCUGCAUGUGAUGGAUCAGCUGACACCAUCCAGAUCGGUAAACUGGUUCAUCUGAUCUUGUGCCCUCCACCCAGGAACUGACUCAGCGCAAGAAGACAGCUUCGACUCCUUAUGAUUUCAUCCCUAACCAAUCAGCACUCCUGGCUCACUGGCUUCCCCCAACCCACCAAAUUGUCCUUAAAAACUCUGCUCUCCAAAUGCUGGGGGAGACUGAUUUGAGUAAUAAUAAAACUCUGGUCUCCUGC